rnacentral:rRNA from 1 species
UACGAAGGGGGCUAGCGUUGUUCGGAAUCACUGGGCGUAAAGCGCACGUAGGCGGAUUCUUAAGUCAGGGGUGAAAUCCCGAGGCUCAACCUCGGAACCGCCUUUGAUACUGGGGAUCUCGAGUCCGGGAGAGGUGAGUGGAAUUGCCGGUGUAGUGGUGAAAUGCGUAGAGAUCGGCAGGAACACCCAGGGGGAAGGCAGUCGACUGGGCAUCUACUGACGCUGAGGUGCGAGAGCGUGGGGAGCGAACCGG